GAUGAACGCUGACAGAAUGCUUAACACAUGCAAGUCUUUGGCGAAUCUGUGCUUGCACAGGCUAGCCAAGGCGGACGGGUGAGUAACGCGUAAAGAACUUGCCCUGCAGACAGGGAUAACAGACGGAAACGACUGAUAACACCUGAUACAGUUGCCGGCACGCAUGUGCCUGGCAAUGAAAAGAGAUGCUGCAGGAGAGCUUUGCGUCCUAUUAGCUUGUUGGUGAGGUGCCGGCUCACCAAGGCGAUGAUAGGUAGCCGGCCUGAGAGGGUGAACGGCCACAAGGGGAAUACGAUACGGCGCUUACUCCUACGGGAGGAAGCAGUGGGGAAUAUUGGACAAUGGGGGCAACUCUGAUCCAGCAAUUCUGUGUGCACGAAGAAGGUUUUCAGAUUGUAAAGUGAUUUCAGCAGGGAAGAAGAAAGUGACGGUACCUGCAGAAGAAGCGACGGCUAAAUACGUG
rnacentral:rRNA from 1 species